UAGCAACAUCUUGAUGACUGUUUAAAAAGACUCUUGGAUCAACACGACAAACCACAGUAAACACCAACAUUCAAACGAUUACGUUUGGGUGAUGAAAUUAAAAUAUGCAUAUGUACCUCCAUAAAUUCGGCAAGAUAAAAAUCACGCUUGCGAUGAUCUCCGCAGUGAUUCGCUAUCACUGCACCUAAGGCAUAUAUGCCUCCUCUUCCACAUAAAAAUAUAAUCUACCUAGUGGAAGUAUUAGUAGCACAAGCGUCGACGAUAUCAGCGCUCAAUUGCAAAUCCCGGUGA
rnacentral:lncRNA from 1 species